rnacentral:rRNA from 1 species
UGCAGUCGAGCGCACCUUCGGGUGAGCGGCGGACGGGUUAGUAACGCGUGGGAACAUACCCUUUGGUACGGAAUAGCCUCUGGAAACGGAGAGUAAUACCGUAUGAGCCCUUCGGGGGAAAGAUUUAUCGCCAAAGGAUUGGCCCGCGUUAGAUUAGGUAGUUGGUGGGGUAAUGGCCUACCAAGCCUACGAUCUAUAGCUGGUUUUAGAGGAUGAUCAGCAACACUGGGACUGAGACACGGCCCAGACUCCUACGGGAGGCAGCAGUGGGGAAUCUUGGACAAUGGGGGCAACCCUGAUCCAGCCAUGCCGCGUGAGUGAUGAAGGCCUUAGGGUCGUAAAGCUCUUUCGCCUGUGAAGAUAAUGACGGUAGCAGGUAAAGAAACCCCGGCUAACUCCGUGCCAGCAGCCGCGGUAAUACGGAGGGGGUUAGCGUUGUUCGGAAUUACUGGGCGUAAAGCGCACGUAGGCGGACUGGAAAGUUGGGGGUGAAAUCCCAGGGCUCAACCCUGGAACUGCCUCCAAAACUAUCAGUCUAGAGUUCGAGAGAGGUGAGUGGAAUUCCGAGUGUAGAGGUGAUAUUCGUAGAUAUUCGGAGGAACACCAGUGGCGAAGGCGGCUCACUGGCUCGAUACUGACGCUGAGGUGCGAAAGUGUGUGGAGCAAACAGGAUUAGAUACCCUGGUAGUCCACACCGUAAACGAUGAAUGCCAGUCGUCGGGUAGCAUGCUAUUCGGUGACACACCUAACGGAUUAAGCAUUCCGCCUGGGGAGUACGGU